UUCAUUAUGUUACUAGUGAAGGCCCGCGCUUCGCGGCGAAAAAUUUACGCAAUUUACCAAAUAUUUUGAACAAACUUGUUUAAUUUUUUUAUUUUAAGAUCUAAAUUAAAAUUGUAAACAUAACACAUUAAUAGAAUCAAAUGAUAAUUCUUUUGAGUUGUCUUCUUUACCUGAGUUGCUUAAAAUUCGAAACGCAGAGAGCCCGGCCGUACCGGCUUAGGAUUUCCGAUUAAAAGGAUAUAUAGAUAUAGAUUUAUAUUUUAAAUUUAAAAUUUUAAAUUAAGUACAAAAUUUUAAUUUCUGUUAAGAAGAGAUUCAGUUUAAAAUUUAAAUUUAUAUUUAAUUUUGUUUAAAUUUUGUGGGUU
rnacentral:lncRNA from 1 species